UACGUAGGACCCAAGCGUUAUCCGGAGUGACUGGGCGUAAAGAGUUGCGUAGGUGGCUUGUAAAGUGAAUAGUGAAAUCUGGGGGCUCAACCUCACAGGCUAUUAUUCAAACUCACAAGCUCGAGAGUGAUAGAGGUAACUGGAAUUUCUGAAGUAGGGGUAAUAUCCGUAGAUAUCAGAAGGAACACCAAUGGCGUAGGCAGGUUACUGGAUCAUUUCUGACACUGAGGCACGAAAGCGUGGGGAGCGAACCGG
rnacentral:rRNA from 1 species